GCCCUAAAGCAUGGUAUCUAAAUGCAAGGCAGUAAUUUGAUUAUUAACUGAAAAAAUAACAAGCUGAAAGUAAAAGACCUAAGAACAGGAUUUCUAUGUGUGAGAUGCAUGUCCUAUACAUAGUUUCUAUUACGCAAAUAGAUAAGUAAAAUCCUAUUACAUGUUUUCUACCCAUACCUUUAAUAAUAAUGCAUAACCCUCCCCAAUUUCACUCUAAUCCCCAUUAUUCUUUACAAAUUAUUACAGCCAAGUAAUAAAAAAUACAACACAUAUAAAAGAAAAUAAGAUGUUACUCCAUAGAGAGCCUUCAUCCAGGCCCAUGCAAUCUCCAACCUCACUCCUUUCGAG
rnacentral:lncRNA from 1 species